UUGGUUAAGUUAGAAAGGGCGCACGGUGGAUGCCUUGGCACUAGGAGCCGAAGAAGGACGGGACUAACACCGAUAUGCUUUGGGGAGCUGUACGUAAGCGUUGAUCCAGAGAUUUCCGAAUGGGGGAACCCACUAUCUUUAGUCGGAUAGUAUCCUUACGUGAAUACAUAGCGUGAGGAAGGCAGACCCAGGGAACUGAAACAUCUAAGUACCUGGAGGAAGAGAAAGAAAAAUCGAUUUCCUGAGUAGCGGCGAGCGAAACGGAAAGAGCCCAAACCAAGAAGCUUGCUUCUUGGGGUUGUAGGACACUCUAUACGGAGUUACAAAAGAAAGUUAUAAAUGAAGCGGUCUGGAAAGGCCCGCCAAAGACGGUAACAGCCCGGUAGUUGAAAUGGCUUUCCCUCCAGAGUGGAUCCUGAGUACGGCGGAACACGUGAAAUUCCGUCGGAAUCCGGGAGGACCAUCUCCCAAGGCUAAAUACUCCCUAGUGACCGAUAGUGAACCAGUACCGUGAGGGAAAGGUGAAAAGCACCCCGGAAGGGGAGUGAAACAGUUCCUGAAACCGUGUGCCUACAAGUAGUUAGAGCCCGUUAAUGGGUGAUAGCGUGCCUUUUGUAGAAUGAACCGGCGAGUUACGAUUUGUUGCAAGGUUAAGCGGAAAAAGCGGAGCCGUAGCGAAAGCGAGUCUGAAUAGGGCGCAUAAGUAACAGGUCGUAGACCCGAAACCAGGUGAUCUACCCAUGUCCAGGAUGAAGGUAAGGUAAUACUUACUGGAGGUCCGAACCCACGCACGUUGAAAAGUGCGGGGAUGAGGUGUGGGUAGCGGAGAAAUUCCAAUCGAACUUGGAGAUAGCUGGUUCUCUCCGAAAUAGCUUUAGGGCUAGCCUCGAGGUAAAGAGUCAUGGAGGUAGAGCACUGUUUGGACUAGGGGCCCUUCUCGGGUUACCGAAUUCAGAUAAACGCCGAAUGCCAUGUACUUAUACUCGGGAGUCAGACUGCGAGUGAUAAGAUCCGUAGUCGAAAGGGAAACAGCCCAGACCACCAGUUAAGGUCCCCAAAUAUAUGUUAAGUGGAAAAGGAUGUGGGGUUGCUUAGACAACCAGGAUGUUGGCUUAGAAGCAGCCACCAUUGAAAGAGUGCGUAAUAGC
rnacentral:rRNA from 1 species